rnacentral:rRNA from 1 species
AUAUCAAUAAGCGGAGGAAAAGAAACCAACCGGGAUUGCCUCAGUAACGGCGAGUGAAGCGGCAUGAGCUCAAAUUUGAAAUCCGGCCCCCGCGGGGCCCGAGUUGUAAUUUGGAGAGGAUGCUUCGGGCGCGGCCGCGGCCUAAUUCGCUUGGAACAGCGGGUCAGAGAGGGUGAGAAUCCCGUCCGGGGCCGUGGGCCGCCGUCCAGGUGAAGCUCCUUCGACGAGUCGAGUUGUUUGGGAAUGCAGCUCUAAAUGGGUGGUAAAUUUCAUCUAAAGCUAAAUAUGGGCCAGAGACCGAUAGCGCACAAGUAGAGUGAUCGAAAGAUGAAAAGCACUUUGAAAAGAGAGUUAAACAGUAUGUGAAAUUGUUGAAAGGGAAGCGCUUGCGACCAGACUUGCGGGCGGCGGUUCCCCCGGGCCUCGUGCCCGGGCCACUCCGCCGUCCCCAGGCCAGCAUCGGUUCGGGGGACCGGUGAAAGGCCCCGGGAAUGUACCAACCUCCGGGUUGACUUAUAGCCCGGGGUGCAAUGCGGCCCCCCCGGACCGAGGCACGCGCUCCGGCUCGGAUGCUGGCGUAAUGGUUGCAAGCGGCCCGUCUUGAAACACGGACCAAGGAGUCUAACAUCUGUGCGAGUGUUUGGGUGGUAAACCCCGGCGCGUAAUGAAGGUGAACGGAGGUAAGAGCCCGCCCCGGGUGCAUUAUCGACCGAUCCUGAAGUCUUCGGAUGGAUUUGAGUAAGAGCACAGCUGUUGGGACCCGAAAGGUACGUCUGCUCCCGAUCCCCCCCCCCGUUUUCUAUGCGAUUGGGAGCACCUUUAACUAACUGAUGCCUGUAACAGAUGGUGAACUAUGCCUGAAUAGGGUGAAGCCAGAGGAAACUCCGGUGGAGGCUCGCAGCGGUUCUGACGUGCAAAUCGAUCGUCAAAUUUGGGUAUAGGGGCGAAAGACUAAUCGAACCAUCCUCCGGGCAUCCUGUCACCUGUGGGUUGAUUCAUCUUCGGUGGAUCCUCGGGUGCUGCCAGGUGGUUAAUUCCCGGCCUCGCUGGCCGGGCCAGUCCGGUACCUUGGUAUCGGGCGGCGUCACCAGCCUUUCGGGGACGCCCAAGGGCCAUCCGAAGCCGUCCUGAUCCCGCGGGACGGUUCACAGACUAGACCGUGACGGCCGGACUCUCGUGACGGAGAGACGGUGAUUAUAUAGUCGAGCAUGGUUAUCGGGAUCUCUCCCGGUGGCUCUCGACCCGAGCGCUCCGGAGCCUGGAUGUCGACGGUACGUGUCUUAUCCGGGCCCGGAGGCUCCCGUUGGAGGUGGCUCACCGAAGAGCCGAUGGCUCUGGACGCUGGUAGCUGGUUCCUGUCGAAGUUUCCCUCAGGAUAGCAGUAACGUGUUCAGUUUUAUGAGGUAAAGCGAAUGAUUAGAGGCCUUGGGGUUGAAACAACCUUAACCUAUUCUCAAACUUUAAAUAUGUAAGAAGUCCCUGUUGCUCCGUUGAACGGGGACAUUUGAAUGCAGCGUUACUAGUGGGCCAUUUUUGGUAAGCAGAACUGGCGAUGCGGGAUGAACCGAACGCGAGGUUAAGGUGCCGGAAUGCACGCUCAUCAGACACCACAAAAGGUGUCAAUGCAUCCAGACAGCCGGACGGUGGCCAUGGAAGUCGGAAUCCGCCUAGGAGUGUGUAACAACUCACCGGCCGAAUGCAUUGGCCCUGAAAAUGGAUGGCGCUUAAGCGUGCUACCUAUACCUCGCCGUCGGGGUUGAAAUGAGGCCCCGACGAGUAGGCAGGCGUGGGGGUCGGUGACGAAGCCUCGGGGGUGACCCCGGGUCGAACGACCCCUAGUG